GUUUUCGGGCCAAGUUGUGCUACUCGAAAGGUUUAUGAAGAAGGUGCCAAGGAUGUGGCUUUAUCUGCUCCCACAGGAAUGAAUGUCCCCACUUUACCUUGAUACUUUAUGCAUUGGAGAUCUACAAUGAGACUGUUGUUGACCUUUUGAAUCGUGAAUCUGGUUCCUUGCUACUUUUGGAUGAUCCUGAGAAAGGGACAAUUGUGGAAAAACUAGUCGAAGAAGUUGUAAAGGAUGGCCAACAUUUGAGACACUUAGUCAACAUUUGUGAAGGUAAAUUAGUUCACUUGUAAUUUUAAGCUGAAGAGAUUUUGACUUUCUUUAUUAACAACCAAAUUUCCCUUUCCAAGCAACCAUAACUAACUUC